GACGAACGCUGGCGGCGUGCUUAACACAUGCAAGUCGAACGGAAAGGCCCUGCUUUUGCGGGGUGCUUGAGUGGCGAACGGGUGAGUAACACGUGAGUAACCUGCCCUUGACUUUGGGAUAACUUCAGGAAACUGGGGCUAAUACCGGAUAGGAGCUCCUGCUGCAUGGGGGGGGUUGGAAAGUUUCGGCGGUUGGGGAUAGACUCGCGGCUUAUCCGCUUGUUGGUGGGGUAGUGGCUUACAAAGGCUUUGACGGGUAGCCGGCCUGAGAGGGUGACCGGCCACAUUGGGACUGAGAGACGGACCAGACUCGUACGGGAGGCAGCAGUGGGGAGUAUGACGCAGUGGGCGGAAGCCUGAUGCAGCAGCGUCGCGUGCGGGAUAACGGCCUUCGGGUUGUAAACCGCUUUGGCCGGUGACGUAGCGUGAGUGACGGUAAUGAGUAAGGAAGCACCGGCUAACUACGUG
rnacentral:rRNA from 1 species